rnacentral:rRNA from 1 species
UACGAAGGAGGCUAGCGUUGCUCGGAAUCACUGGGCGUAAAGCGCACGUAGGCGGCUUCUUAAGUCAGGGGUGAAAUCCUGGAGCUCAACUCCAGAACUGCCUCUGAUACUGAGGAGCUCGAGUCCGGGAGAGGUGAGUGGAACUCCGAGUGUAGAGGUGAAAUUCGUAGAUAUUCGGAAGAACACCAGUGGCGAAGGCGGCUCACUGGCCCGGUACUGACGCUGAGGUGCGAAAGCGUGGGGAGCAAACAGG